UAGGGAAUAUUGGUCAAUGGGGGCAACCCUGAACCAGCCAUGCCGCGUGCAGGAAGACGGCCCUAUGGGUUGUAAACUGCUUUUAUAUGGGAAGAAAGAGAUCCUGCGGGAUAAGAUGACUGUACCAUACGAAUAAGGACCGGCUAACUCCGUGCCAGCAGCCGCGGUAAUACGGAGGGUCCAAGCGUUGUCCGGAAUUAUUGGGUUUAAAGGGUGCGUAGGUGGCCUAUUAAGUCAGAAGUGAAAUCCCACCGCUUAACGGUGGAACUGCUUUUGAAACUGAUAGGCUUGAGUACAGUAAAGGUAGGCGGAAUUUAUGGUGUAGCGGUGAAAUGCAUAGAUACCAUAAAGAACACCAAUUGCGAAGGCAGCUUACUAGACUGUAACUGACGCUGAGGCACGAAAGUGUGGGUAGCGAACGGGAUUAGAUACCCCCGUAGUCC
rnacentral:rRNA from 1 species